AACGAACGCUGGCGGCAUGCCUAACACAUGCAAGUCGAACGAGACCUUCGGGUCUAGUGGCGCACGGGUGCGUAACGCGUGGGAACCUGCCCUUAGGUUCGGAAUAACUCCCCGAAAGGGGUGCUAAUACCGGAUAAUGUCUUCGGACCAAAGAUUUAUCGCCUUUGGAUGGGCCCGCGUUGGUUUAGCUAGUUGGUAGGGUAAAAGCCUACCAAGGCGACGAUCCAUAGCUGGGCUGAGAGGAUGAGCAGCCACACUUGGACUGAGACACGGCCCAGAAUCCUACGGGAGGGAGCAGUGGGGAAUAUUGGACAACGGGCGAAAGCCUGAUCCAGCAAUGCCGCGUGAGUGAUGAAGGCCUUAGGGUUGUAAAGCUCUUUUACCCGGGAUGAUAAUGACAGUACCGGGAGAAUAAGCUCCGGCUAACUCCGUG
rnacentral:rRNA from 1 species